rnacentral:rRNA from 1 species
AUGCCGCGUGUGUGAUGAAGGUCUUAGGAUCGUAAAGCACUUUCGCCAGGGAUGAUAAUGACAGUACCUGGUAAAGAAACCCCGGCUAACUCCGUGCCAGCAGCCGCGGUAAUACGGAGGGGGUUAGCGUUGUUCGGAAUUACUGGGCGUAAAGCGCGCGUAGGCGGAUUGGAAAGUUGGGGGUGAAAUCCCGGGGCUCAACCCCGGAACUGCCUCCAAAACUAUCAGUCUAGAGUUCGAGAGAGGUGAGUGGAAUUCCAAGUGUAGAGGUGAAAUUCGUAGAUAUUUGGAGGAACACCAGUGGCGAAGGCGGCUCACUGGCUCGAUACUGACGCUGAGGUGCGAAAGUGUGGGGAGCAAACAGGAUUAGAUACCCUGGUAGUCCACACCGUAAACGAUGAAUGCCAGUCGUCGGGCAGUAUACUGUUCGGUGACACACCUAACGGAUUAAGCAUUCCGCCUGGGGAGUACGGUCGCAAGAUUAAAACUCAAAGGAAUUGACGGA